rnacentral:lncRNA from 1 species
UCUCUGAGCUCUUCUGCAUUCUUAAGUAAGCUUGCAUAAUACUGCUGAGGACAAAGCAGUUGCCUGCUGAAAGCCAAAUGAAUGCAUAAAUUUGGCCUCAAGAUUUUUGAACUGUUGUGAAAGAGUUUUUGUGUCUUAGGUUUCUUUUUUUCUUUCAAAUCACCACUAGCAAAUUUUUUCUUCAGAUGAUAUCUUUGUUAUCCAAAAUCUGAUGUAUAAUGAAGGGGCCAUUAUCUAGGGAUGAAAAUGGACAAAACUCGUGUACAUCAAUUAGCAUAUGGAGAAUUUGAGAUGGAAACAUGCCAGCCUCUUCCAAAGAGAAGUUCAGAUAACAGACUGCAAGAUUGAGCAGCUUUCAUGAGAACAGUAAAGAAAACAAUUUCCCUCGGUGCUUACCACAGAAAGGAAGAUAAAGGAACUGGAGGAUGGAUAAAAGUAUCCAAAAAACAUAAAAGAUGAAUUGAUGGGAAACACUGGUGUGACCACUCAAGGGGCCAAGGGUGGAAAAAGUCAUUCCAUUAAAAAAAUAAAAUAAACAGUGGAAAAAGAAUGGAGCCAUAGUCCUGGAAAAAAGUGAGAUCACAUUAAAAAAACUUUCAAGAUUGGCCUGGAAAAAUAAGGCUUUAUGAGUUUAACAUGAGGACUCUAUUCUUACCACCUGUGGAGAGUAAUUGGCAUUGGCUGACUAGAGGUUUGUUUUGCCUUCUUGGCAGGAGCUGAAUUGUUAUGUUAAUAGUCCGCUGGCUAAGUGUUAAGUACUGUGUUUGAAUAGAAAGAGUUUUGCAGAAGGGAAAAUUCCCAGCCCCAGGUUCUUAUUCUGACCACUGAGCUCUUUACAGACUUCAGACUUCACACACUCAAAUUCAAAGAAACAAUUAGUAUCAUGCUGAUAUUUCUAGCAUUUUGUGAAAUCGAAGAGUUUCUACUAGGAACGCUCCUGUAGGUGGUUUACGGCCAGUGUAUCCAAGCUCACGUUUGGGCCCAAGGGCCCAUUUGGAGCUAAAGAACAGACUUUCAUCACAGCAGCAUUGCCCACCUUUUUGUAAUUGUCUAUGCCAGCUCUUUUCCAUUCCCACUGGCUCCUCCUUAGAGGUCAUUCCACUGACUUAGUCUUAAAAUAUUUUAAUUGUCCUUGAACAGGGUGAACCCAAAAACCGCAGGGCACUCAGGAGGAAAUGGUGUAGUAGUCAAU